rnacentral:misc_RNA from 1 species
AUUAUCAAUGGCCGCAUUGAGAGUUUCUUCAGCAUUGGCUUGUUCAUCUUCUUCAUCUUUUCACUCAUACCCUUCAAUUUUUACUAAAUUUCAAUCUAGUCCCAUCUGGUCUUUUUCAAUUUCAGUUACACCCUUGUGUUCAAGAAGAGCUAAAAGAAUGGCUCAUUCUAUUGCUCGUGAUACUCUUGGUCUUACUCAUACUAAUCAAAGUGAUGCUCCUAAGAUUUCAUUUGCUGCUAAAGAGAUUGAUCUGGUGGAAUGGAAAGGAGACAUACUUACAGUAGGUGCCACAGAGAAGGACUUGGCUAGAGACGGGAAUUCUAAGUUCCAGAAUCCACUAUUGCAAAAGCUAGAUUCCAAAUUGAGUGGCUUAUUGUCUGAAGCUUCAUCUGAGGAGGAUUUUAGUGGAAAGGCUGGACAAUCCACAAUUUUGAGGCUUCCUGGUCUUGGCUCAAAAAGGAUUGCUCUAGUUGGGCUUGGCUCACCAACAUCAUCAACUGCUGCUUAUCGCUGUUUAGGGGAGGCUGCUGCUGCAGCUGCCAAGUCUGCUCAGGCUAGUAAUAUCGCCAUUGCUCUUGCUUCUACGGAUGGACUCUCUGCAGAGUUGAAGCUUAGCUCUGCCUCUGCCAUAACAACUGGAGCUGUGCUGGGGACAUUUGAAGAUAAUAGGUUUAAGUCAGAGUCAAAGAAACCAACAUUGAAAUCUUUGGAUAUUCUUGGACUGGGUACUGGACCUGAGAUAGAGAAGAAAAUCAAGUAUGCAGCAGAUGUCUGUGCAGGUGUUAUACUCGGAAGAGAGCUUGUCAAUGCACCCGCCAAUGUUCUUACGCCUGCGGUACUUGCUGAAGAGGCCAAAAAGAUUGCGUCCACUUAUAGCGAUGUCUUUUCUGCAAACAUCUUGGAUGUUGAGCAGUGCAAAGAAUUGAAAAUGGGAUCCUAUUUAGCUGUCGCUGCAGCUUCUGCAAAUCCUGCUCAUUUCAUCCAUUUGUGUUAUA